rnacentral:rRNA from 1 species
AUGAUUGAGUUAGGGAGUUCAAGUGGUGCUGCUAAUGGGGAAAGGAGGCUAUGGAAUAUUAUUUGGAAGGCUCAGGUCCCUCAGAAAAUCAGAAUUUUUGCAUGGCGUGCUGCGACACAAAGUUUGGCGGUUCAAGUUAACAGAGUUAAACACCACCAAACUAUCAUUGAUCUGUGCUUGAUUUGUGGCGUAGAAGAUGAAUCUAUAUUUCAUGCACUGGUAAGCUGUCCUAAGGCUCGUGCGUUACGUCUGGCGGUAAGGGAGGUAUGGAAUUUACCAGAUGAAGUGGUUUUCAAUUUUACGGGGCCGGAUUGGUUACUUGUCUUAUUGGAUCAAGUAAGGCCGCCGGUGCGUGAGCAAAUUAUAUUCAUGUUUUGGAGGGCUUGGCAUCUGAGGAAUGAUUUGAUUUUUGGUAAGGGAAAGGAAAAAAUCUCCGACUCAGUGAGGUUCAUUCAGAAUUACUGGACGUCCUUCUCGUCCUGUCAUCCCAAUGUCAAGAUGGCUCCCGCUACGGAGAUCAUUAAGAUUAAUGUUGAUGCAAGUUAUGUGGAGGCUUUAAGGGCUGCAAGUGUGGGCGUCAUGGCCAGGAACCAUACUGGAGAAGUUAUCAUAUCGUCCUGGGAUUAUAUUGGGGUGUGCAAUAGCGCGGAAGAAGCGGAACUGAGAGGGACCCUUGCGGGGCUAUACAUUGGUAUUACUCUCCACAAGGCCAUCAUUUUAGAAACGAAUUGUUCUUUUGUGGCUUCUUUCCUUCGAAAUGAUCUUCUAGACAGGUCUCCUCUGGUGGAUCUAAAGAUAGAAGCUUUGAGUUUAGCCAAAAUGAUGAUAAAUUGCAAGAUAUCCAAGAUUAACAGAACGGCUAAUAGGGUGGCGCACGAGAUUGUGAAGUUCAGCUUUGAUAAUAGGUCCGAUGGUGUGCUCCUUAAUAGUGUUUCGCCCUGCGUGGCUGAUUUUGUAACGGAUGAUUGUAUGAAUAUUUUAAGUUAA